GUAAAUGUAGCUUAAUUACAAAAGCAAGGCACUGAAAAUGCCUAGAUGAAUUUAUAUAAUUCCAUUAACA